rnacentral:rRNA from 1 species
CACCUUAAUCCUUGUGGGCGAAGCAUGGUUCAUAACUGUGUUCCUGUAGAUGAGCCUAAGCCAGGAUUAUCUAUUUGGUGGGGUAAAGGCCUACCAAGGCGACGAUCUGUAGCGGGUCUGAGAGGAUGAUCCGCCACACUGGGACUGAGACACGGCCCAGACUCCUACGGGAGGCAGCAGUGGGGAAUAUUGGACAAUGGGCGAAAGCCUGAUCCAGCCAUGCCGCGUGUGUGAAGAAGGCCUUUUGGUUGUAAAGCACUUUAAGCGAGGAGGAGGCUACUGAGAUUAAUGCUCUUGGAUAGUGGACGUUACUCGCAGAAUAAGCACCGGCUAACUCUGUGCCAGCAGCCGCGGUAAUACAGAGGGUGCGAGCGUUAAUCGGAUUUACUGGGCGUAAA